rnacentral:rRNA from 1 species
GAUGAACGCUGGCGGCGUGCCUAAUACAUGCAAGUCGAGCGAACAGACGAGGAGUUUGCUCCUCUGACGUUAGCGGCGGACGGGUGAGUAACACGUGGAUAACCUACCUAUAAGACUGGGAUAACUUCGGGAAACCGGAGCUACUACCGGAUAAUAUAUUGAACCUCAUGGUUCAAUAGUGUAAUACGGUUUUGCUGUCACUUAUAGAUGGAUCCGCGCCGCAUUAGCUAGUUGGUAAGGUAACGGCUUAGCAAGGCAGCGAUGCGUAGCCGACCUGAGAGCGAGGACGAGCAGCCUGGAAGUGAGGCACAGUAGAGACACUGACAGGAGGCAGCGGUAGGGAAUCUUCCGCGAGGCGGGAAAGCCUGACGUAGCGACGCCGGGUGAAUGAUGAAGGUCUUCGGAUCGUAGAACGCUGUUAGUAUUGGAAAAGUAAUAUGUUAGUACCGAUGCAGGUCUUGACGGUACCUAGUGAGGAAGCCCCGGCUAACUACGUG